UACGUAGGUGGCAAGCGUUGUCCGGAAUUAUUGGGCGUAAAGCGCGCGCAGGCGGUCCUUUAAGUCUGAUGUGAAAGCCCACGGCUCAACCGUGGAGGGUCAUUGGAAACUGGGGGACUUGAGUGCAGGAGAGAAGAGUGGAAUUCCACGUGUAGCGGUGAAAUGCGUAGAGAUGUGGAGGAACACCAGUGGCGAAGGCGGCCAACUGGUCCGGUACUGACGCUGAGGUGCGAAAGCGUGGGGAGCGAACAGG
rnacentral:rRNA from 1 species